UAAGUAGAGGCGCAGGAUUUAUAAGUAUAUUUUUGGACACAGUAAGGUGUGGAGGAAGAAAGUAAAAAGGAAAGCCUGCCGAAGAACUUAUCAGCCUUAAGGAUAAGAUUCUGGGCAUACAGUGAAGAACUGUAUGACUGUCAUCGUAAGAUGGAGAGCUACUGA
rnacentral:ncRNA from 1 species